UCCGUGUUGAUCUCACACCAUUUUUAAUAGACUUCCACCGACAUCUGACAGGGUUAGUAAAUAUGCAAAGUUGGUUUUUAUCUUGGCACAUUUCUCUGCAACGUUUUCCAUACACUGGCACGCGAAAGUAGGAAAACGAAGGGGGGAAAAUUGGUGAGAAAGUAAGAGACAGAGCGAGAGAAAGGGCGAGGCGGGAUUGGGAAUCGCUUGCAUGUUUAGCACUUGACGGCUUAAUGGCGAACAAUUUGGGUUAAGACAAGAGGCCACGCCCCCAGCUGGACUCGACUGGCAGAGAGGACUGGCCCGGAUUAAAGGAUAUAGCUGGGAUGUAUGUACGGCUGGCCAAACCAAGCGGUUGAAGCGUCGACAUGAGGGACACAGGACUCGAAACCAAACCGUGACAGGACCCAUGGACCAAAGCCACCCACUCGACCAAUAGCCACUGGCCAAAACAGCACAAACUACACGGUGGGGCGAAAGGAUUGAGCCCGGAGCUCAACAAACAUGCAGCUGCCAAGAAUUUAUUGCCUGGACAAUGACAACGACAACGACAAGGACCGAGCAGGACAAUUAUCAUUGUAAACAUUUUGCCAUGACUUCAGCAAAAUGAGGAAUGGACACCCGAAGGGGGAGAGAUGACUUAAACUGCCAUUCAACCAGCUUUUUUGCAGGUCCGUAGCAUGUGUGCCAAAGCUUACUCCUUUCUAUUUGCUUGGGCAACUGCCAAACCGAAUUGCUUGAAAAUUGAGAACUAUAUUUUGUGUCGAAUAAAUCAUAACUAGUUAACUAGUGGCAUCAA
rnacentral:sRNA from 1 species